rnacentral:rRNA from 1 species
CCGUACUACCAUGGAAGUCUUUCGCAGAGAGAUAUGGUAGAUGGGCUAGAAGAGCAUGACAUAUACUGUUGUGUCGAUAUUUUCUCCUCGGACCUUGAAAAUUUAUGGUGGGGACACGCAAACUUCUCAACAGGCCGUACCAAUAUCCGCAGCUGGUCUCCAAGGUGAAGAGUCUCUAGUCGAUAGAAUAAUGUAGGUAAGGGAAGUCGGCAAAUUAGAUCCGUAACUUCGGGAUAAGGAUUGGCUCUGAAGAUUGAGAUAGUCGGGCUUGAUUGGGAAACAAUACAUGGUUUAUGUGCUCGUUCUGGGUAAAUAGAGUUUCUAGCAUUUAUGUUAGUUACUUGUUCCCCGGAUAGUUUAGUUAAUGUAGGUAAGGGAAGUCGGCAAAUUAGAUCCGUAACUUCGGGAUAAGGAUUGGCUCUGAAGAUUGAGAUAGUCGGGCUUGAUUGGGAAACAAUAACAUGGUUUAUGUGCUCGUUCUGGGUAAUAGAGUUUCUAGCAUUUUAUGUUAGUUACUUGUUCCCCGGAUAGUUUAGUUACGUAGCCAAUUGUGGAACUUUCUUGCUAAAAUUUUUAAGAAUACUAUUUGGGUUAAACCAAUUAGUUCUUAUUAAUUAUAACGAUUAUCAAUUAACAAAUCAAUUCAGAAAACUGGCACGGACUUGGGGAAUCCGACUGUCUAAUUAAACAAAGCAUUGUGAUGGCCCUAGCGGGUGUUGACACAAUGUGAUUUCUGCCCAUGCUCUGAUAUGUCAAAGUGAAGAAAUUCAAGUAAGCGCGGUCACGGCGGGAGUAACUAUGACUCUCUUAAGGUAGCCAAAUGCUCGUCAUCUAAUUAGUGACGGCGCAUGAAUGGAUUAACGAGAUUCCUACUGUCCCUAUCUACUAUCUAGCGAAACCACAGCCAAGGGAACGGGCUUGGAAUAAUUAGCGGGGAAAGAAGACCCUUUUGAGCUUGACUCUAAUCUGGCAGUGUAAGGAGACAUAAGAGGUGUAGAAUAAGUGGGAGAUAUUAGACCUCGGUUUGGUAUCGUCAAUGAAAUACCACUACUCUUAUUGUUUCCUUACUUACUUGAUUAAAUGGAAGCGUGUAUCAUUUCCUAGCCAUUAUACGGAUAUAUUUAUUAUAUCUUAUGGUAUUGGGUUUUGAUGCAAGCUCUUGAUCAAAGUAUCACGAGUUUGUUAUAUAAUCGCAAACAAAUUCUUUAAUAAAACGAUGCAUUUAUGUAUUUUUGGAUUUGAAAAUUUGGUAUAACUCCAAUUACUCAGGUAUGAUCCAAUUCAAGGCAUUGCCAGGUAGGGAGUUUGACUGGGGCGGUACAUCUCUCAAAUAAUAACGGAGGUGUCCCAAGGCCAGCUCAGUGCGGACAGAAACCACACAUAGAGCAAAGGGCAAAUGCUGACUUGAUCUCGGUGUUCAGUACACACAGGGACAGCAAAAGCUCGGCCUAUCGAUCCUUUUGGUUUAAAGAGUUUUUAACAAGAGGUGUCAGAAAAGUUACCAUAGGGAUAACUGGCUUGUGGCGGCCAAGCGUUCAUAGCGACGUCGCUUUUUGAUCCUUCGAUGUCGGCUCUUCCUAUCAUUGUGAAGAAAAUUCACCAAGCGUUGGAUUGUUCACCCAUGCAAGGGAACGUGAGCUGGGUUUAGACCGUCGUGAGACAGGUUAUUUUACCCUACUAAUGACAAAACGUUGUUGCGACAGCAUUCCUGCGUAGUACGAGAGGAACCGCAGUACGGACAAUGGCACAAUACUUGUUCGAGCGAACAGUGGUAUGACGCUACGUCCGUUGGAUUAUGCCUGAACGCCUCUAAGGUCGUAUCCGUGCUGGACUGCAAUGAUAAAUAAGGGGCAAUUUGCAUUGU